UACGUAGGUGGCAAGCGUUGUCCGGAUUUACUGGGCGUAAAGGGCUUGUAGGCGGUUUGUUAAGUCUGGUGUGAAAUCUCCCGGCUCAACCGGGAGGGGUCAUCGGAUACUGGCAGACUAGAGACGGGUAGAGGAAAGCAGAAUUCCCGGUGUAGCGGUGAAAUGCGUAGAUAUCGGGAGGAAUACCAGUGGCGAAGGCGCUUUCUGGGCCUGUUCUGACGCUGAGGAGCGAAAGCGUGGGGAGCAAACCGGG
rnacentral:rRNA from 1 species